AGCUCCAAUAGCGUAUAUUAAAGUUGUUGCGGUUAAAAAGCUCGUAGUUGGAUUUCUGUUGAGAGUGGCCAGUCCGCACUUAGUGCGAGUAUUUGGUUCAGUCUCGGCAUCCUCCAGGGGAGCGUAUCUGUACUUGAUUGUAUGGUGCGCAAUUCUGGACUUUUACUUUGAGGAAAUUAGAGUGUUCACGGCAGGCAUUUGCCUUGAAUAUGUUAGCAUGGAAUAAUAAUAUAAGACCUUGGUCUUAUUUUGUUGGUUUCUAGGAGCAGGGUAAUGAUUAAUAGGGAUAAUUGGGGGGUAUUCGAAUUAAGG
rnacentral:rRNA from 1 species